ensembl:misc_RNA Y_RNA Y RNA
GGCUGGUCCAAAGGUAGUGAGUUAUCUCAUGUGACUGUUCACAGUCAACUCCUUAUUCUAUUCUUUCCCCCCUUACUACUGUCCUUGAUAGUUUUAA